rnacentral:rRNA from 1 species
CCCUACGGGGUGCACCAGGGCUGGUACCGGCAGAUCAAGCGCAUGAUGGAAUCCGUGGGGCAUCCUGUAUUGAAGAUCAAGAGAGUGGCCUACGGUCCGUUGACGUUGGGAAGACUCGCUCCUGGGGACUAUCGUUCCCUUUCUGAAAAAGAAGUCCAGCAUUUAUACAAUCUGGUUCCACUUGAACAGGAGCAGGCCGAAAGGAAAUGAGCAGCAGAAACCGAAGAAAUUAUCCGUACAGCUUAGAUGAAUCUUUGGUUGCCUCUCGGGAAAAGCCUAAGAAGCGUGGACCUUUGCGCAUCCUGGUGGGGGUGCUUUGCAUCGCCUUGCUGGCGGGAGGGC